UGGGGAAUUUUGGACAAUGGGCGAAAGCCUGAUCCAGCAAUGCCGCGUGUGUGAAGAAGGCCUUCGGGUUGUAAAGCACUUUUGUCCGGAAAGAAAUCCUUGGCUCUAAUACAGUCGGGGGAUGACGGUACCGGAAGAAUAAGCACCGGCUAACUACGUGCCAGCAGCCGCGGUAAUACGUAGGGUGCAAGCGUUAAUCGGAAUUACUGGGCGUAAAGCGUGCGCAGGCGGUUUGCUAAGACCGAUGUGAAAUCCCCGGGCUCAACCUGGGAACUGCAUUGGUGACUGGCAGGGCUAGAGUAUGGCAGAGGGGGGUAGAAUUCCACGUGUAGCAGUGAAAUGCGUAGAGAUGUGGAGGAAUACCGAUGGCGAAGGCAGCCCCCUGGGCCAAUACUGACGCUCAUGCACGAAAGCGUGGGGAGCAAAACAGGAUUAGAUACCCCUGGUAGUCCACGCCCUAAACGAUGUCAACUAGUUGUUGGGGAUUCAUUUCCUUAGUAACGUAGCUAACGCGUGAAGUUGACCGCCAGGGGAGUACGGUCGCAAGAUUAAAACUUAAAUGAAUUG
rnacentral:rRNA from 1 species